GUUUGCGUCCGCGAACUCCCGCCUCUUCGCUCUCUCUCCGCCCGAGAGCUUGGCGUGCGCGGAGGCGGCUGCUGAGGCGGGGUCUGCCCUAGCGCCUUUCGGAGGGCGCGGGCUGGUAGUUUAGUGGGAGGCCGCGACAUGGUUUUAACUGCUUUCGCAAACUGAUAAGGGGUGUCUCUCUCUCAACCCCCAGGGCGCCGUCGCGCUUGCCCAGAAGCCUGGAGCGUGGGCGGGCAGGCAAAGCAACUGCCCAGAAGUUUUGGCGACUAGCUGGAGUCGCCUGACAAGGAGAGAGCGCUCGGAACCCUCACGAGGAUUAUUUGGCCAAGGGAAUGACAUUCUGGAAACAAAGCCUACACUUUACCAGUGGCCCCACGAGAUUCCACAAAAGAAGUGAAAUCAGUAUUGAAGUGGCCUUAUGAAGAUGGCAACAGGACUACCCUAACUGACUGCUAACUUCUUACCCAAGGGAGAUUCACAUGUCCCAGGUUGAUCUCAUGGGAACCACCCCCCAUGGUUAUAUGUGGACAGAGUGGUGUUCACAGAGUUGAUACAAUACAGGAUCUGGCAUUGGAUGUCCUGCACAUAAGACCAGCUGUAUCAUAUAUUAUUGGAGUGACUUGGUGAAGCUACUUAACCUUCUUCAGCUUGAGUUUCUUCAUUUGUAAAAUGGGAAUGGAAACAACAUCUUCCUUAGAGAUUGAUUGCACAGGAGGAUAAAGUGAGGAAUAAAAUAAACAACCAGCUUUAUUUCUAAUAUUUCUGAGAGGACUUACACUUGCAAGAUGUAAGGUCUGACUCAUCACACAGCCAAAGCCCUUGGAAGUGUGAACAAGGAGCUGGAGACACAGUGAGGCUGAUCUUCCAAAUUGGGCAGAACCCAACUAAAUUGUGAAAUUCAAAGGAACAAAGAAGAGUCCAAGAGCAACCUGCACAGGUAAGAAAAUUAAUUUUCCCUUAGACAUACAAGAGGGGCACAGGGUCUGGAAGAAUUACUAUAAAGUCUCACAUGAAACUAUUCUUAUAUCUGUUGCACUAUGGGCACACCAUGGCUUGUUCUUCCACUUGUUUUUCCUUUCAGCACUUGCAGUUGGCUUUGUUAUCAUGCAUAGAAAAGUGCAGUGCUUUUUCUGAGGAAGGCUUACAGUUUAGGGGACAAACUGUUGAAUUAGUUUUCUGCAGAUGACUCUGUUUCCACUUGUCUUAUUUGUGCUGUAAAAAUUGCCAGGCUGUCCUCACAUUGGUUUGGUUUUCCCUUCUACCUAAAGGGGGUGAGGCUCUUGAUAGCAUCUCUGGGAGGAUGAUGCAGAUGUGUCCAGGCAGUGACAGGCUUGCCUUUGGCUAUAGUGACAGGUUCUUGCCUAAUAAGGCCAUACCAUGCUGCUCAGCUCACUGGGAAGUCAUCUUGUGCAUUGGGAAAAUUUCACUGUGAUCCAGUUCACUCAGUGUGUUGUUUUACUGAAUUUCAUACUGAUGAAAAUUAGUUAAAGAAAAAUAUUAAACACUUACUGUGUUCAAAAUAUGCCCUAAAUAUUCUGUGUAAUGCAUGGUCCCAAAACUCAUGCAGUUUUAAAAUGGAGAACUAUGUAUAAGCUCAUUGAAGAUUAUUGUAUUAGACCUAAAAUGACACUUACCUUUUAGGACACCUUUAAUUCUUUUUUUAAUGGGAAAUAUCUUUGUAAUAGAUUGAUUAUUAAAUAAUACAUUGUUUCCAAAAAAAUUUUGAAAUACAUAGAUGUAUAAAGGGGAAAGUAUAAAGGAUGAAAAAUUCUGCUUCCUAGAAAUAACUACUGUUAAAGAGUUUUGAUGAACAUUCUUUGAGCCAUCUUGCUAUGCAUACACACACACACACAUAUUAUACACACAUAAUUUUACAUAAGCUGAUUUAUAAUAUAUUUACUAUUUGUACAACCUGCCUUUUUUCAUUCAGAAAUUGUCAGGAAAUGGUUUCUCUAUCAAUAAAUGUAGACCAACAUCAUUAUACUUAAUUAGAGCAGAGUAUUCAGUUUUAUCACCACAGUUUAUUUAACCAAUCCCCUAUUAAUGGAAAUUUUAAAUUAUUUUCUGUUCUUUAAAAUAUUAUAAAUAAUGAUUGCAUGUGUGUCCAGUUAUGUCCUUAGCAUAAAUUACCUGAAGGUCAAAUUGCUGGGUCAAAGGAUAUGAGCAUUUAAACUUUUAAUAUGUAAUGCCACACUCCCCUCAAAAACCAGAGCCUUGGUUCAGAUACUGUUAGCCCAUUGACUCACUCUGGAGGCUCCUCAGAUGAAACAAGCUUACGGUCUCAUGGAUGUCUCUGCCAAGGUCAUUCUCUUGGUCUUUGUGGAGCCCUUCCACAGUCAUGGAGGCAGGAAGUGCCAGAAGUACCAGGGAGUUAAUGUGACUUCUACCUGGUAAAUGAUGGGAAUUGGUAGCUAAAUGCCCCAGUUUCUUUGCCUCUUGGUGGGACUCUUCUAAGGUGUGUAAUACACAAUCCUUGGAGGAAUUCAGUCUGUUGCCUGUAGUGAUUAUCUUGCUCAUUAACUCACUUGCUUGCUUUCCUCCCUUAGUGACUGACUUCCCCACUCCUUUUCUUGGCUUCCUGGGUUUGUACUCAAAUCCUAGUCUCAGGGUCUGCUUUUGGGGGAAGCCAAAUGAAGACAUCCUUCAUAUUACAGAUGAAAAGUGUGGUAGGCACAAUGAUGGGCCCCCAAAGAUGCCCACAUCUUAACUCCUGGAACCUGGAAAAUGUUACCUUACAUGGCAACAGGGAUCCUGCAGAGUUAAUCACAUGGUAAGAACCUUGAGAUGGGGAAAUUAUCCUGGAUUAUCCUAGUGGCCCUGAUAUAAUCACAAGAGUUCUUAAAAGUGAAAGAGGGAGACAGAAAAGGAGAGUCAGAAAGAAAUGUGAAGAACAGAGAGAUGCAGCGUUACUGGUUUUGAAGAUGAAAGAAGACAGCCAUGAACCAAGAACUGUGGGCAGCCUCCAGAAGCUGGAAAAGGCAAGGGAACGGAUUCUACCAUAGAUCAUCCAGAAAGGACCCAGCCCUUCCGACACCUUGAUUCUAGCCCACUAAGACCCACUUUGGACUUCUAACCUGAAGAACUGGAGUUUAAUAAAUUUGUGCCAAAAA